GCCUGGGUGGCUCAGUCGGUUGAGCAGCUGACUUCCACCCAGGUCAUGAUCUCGCGGCUCGCGAGUUCGAGCCCCGCAUCAGGCU
rnacentral:tRNA from 1 species